AGUGAACGCUGGCGGUAGGCCUAACACAUGCAAGUCGAACGGCAGCACAGUAAGAGCUUGCUCUUACGGGUGGCGGGUGGCGGACGGGUGAGGAAUACAUCGGAAUCUACUUUUUCGUGGGGGAUAACGUAGGGGAACUUACGCUAAUACCGCAUACGACCUACGGGUGAAAGCAGGGGAUCUUCGGACCUUGCGCGAUUGAAUGAGCCGAUGUCGGAUUAGCUAGUUGGCGGGGUAAAGGCCCACCAAGGCGACGAUCCGUAGCUGGUCUGAGAGGAUGAUCAGCCACACUGGAACUGAGACACGGUCCAGACUCCUACGGGAGGCAGCAGUGGGGAAUAUUGGACAAUGGGCGCAAGCCUGAUCCAGCCAUACCGCGUGUGUGAAGAAGGCCUUCGGGUUGUAAAGCCCUUUUGUUGGGAAAGAAAAGCAGCAGGUUAAUACCCCGCUGUUCUGACGGUACCCAAAGAAUAAGCACCGGCUAACUUCGUG
rnacentral:rRNA from 1 species